GGACGGGUGGCCGAGCGGUCGAAGGCGCACGCCUGGAAAGUGUGUAUACGCGAAAGCGUAUCGUGGGUUCGAAUCCCACCCCGUCCG
rnacentral:tRNA from 1 species